ensembl:lncRNA
AUACUGAAAACGAAGAACACCGUGCAGUUUGCACAGUUGGAUCUUAAGAUCCGUUCUGUAGAUAUCGGGCUGUUUUUCUUUCAUUUGAUUUCAUAUGGCAGGUGUUUUGGAAAAGGGCUAUUUAUUUUAUUUCAUGCGCUUGGCAUAAGUGGGCCAUCAAACUCAGAAGAACAUAUGCAAGGCUGCACAGAACAAUCCUGGGGCUAUCAGCAGUGCUGGAAAGGGAGAGGGAAAGGAGAGAAGAUGAUGAUUCCAGAAGUUUCCCUGUCUGCUGGUGGUACCUCUUAGACCUGCUAACCAUAAGAGUCCAGCAAAGGGUCAUCUGAUUGCUGGAGAGGUGUUGCAGCGUUAUUCAUCAGCUAAGGUAAGAGUGUUCUUUCCCAGUUAACCAGGUGGUUCUGUCAUUUGACACCAAAGUUUUAUGCAUUGACAUGUGCUGUCCUGUGUCUUGGUUUAGAAGGCAGUCAAGAGACCUCCGUUCUUUCAAAUAAAUGGCUGAGCUUGGAGCACUGUGGCUUGAUGUUCCUAAAGCUGCUAAUCCUAAUUAACAGCUUUUCUGAGUCCAUUUUAUACCACUCUAUAACAGCCCAAGUGGGCUUUAAAGUGAAUGGAAAUGACCCCAUGGAGAGCCCUCUCUGGAGAUGUUGCUAUGCCGACCUGCUUACAGCAGCUAUUAAAGUUUCGGUUGCUCUCUCCCAUCCUGCAGUGCUGUUACUGUCAUAUGUGCUCAGAUGGUUCCAGAAUUGUGUCUCGGAUGGAUGGGGCCUGGUCUCAAUUAUUUGUUUUUCUGGAAGACAUGGGGAAAAGAGGGAAAAAAGGGUAAUAAGGUAACAUCAUGUCAGGCAAUAAUGUAAAGAGUCUGCAACAGCAGCAGGGAAAAAAAAAAUAGCUGCACAAACCUCAGAUUCCUCUGGAGAGGGAAAAAAAAAAAAAGGUCAAUUUUCUUUUCCCACAACCCUUUCAAAAAACAUUUUUUU